UAUAACAAAUGUCUCAUCCGCAACUACUGCUGUUUCUGCUUCACUGCAUGUUGGUGGAAGUUUGGACUAUUAGCCAACCCGUUAUUGCCAGAGUUUUAUUUUAUUAUUUGAAAAUUUGUGAGGACCGGACUGAAGAACAGCCCGCAAGAUCACUGCGAUCUAGUCAGAUCUAUUGUGACCUAAAUCCCUACGUUUAAGUAGACACUUUCACAGUGUGAAGAACACGAAGAUGAGGAAGUGGCUCCCGAUACUUUGGAGGAGGCAGGGGCGCUGGAAGCCGAUGUGGGGGCUAGAUUGUCCAACUCAUUCUGGCAUGGUCUCCGAUUUUCAAACGACGAAAUACUAAAGACUGUCGGAGGCUGCCUCGAAGGUAGUCUUCUGAAACGAUUGUUGUAUUACACUGCAGCUUCGAAAGACUAACAUUAUCCAUCGGAACAUCUUGUACUUAUUUUUUCUGUUACCUGUAUUUAAAAGUACCUAAUAUAAGAAUUUUAUCUCGUU
rnacentral:misc_RNA from 1 species